AUGACUAGGGAUAACCUUAGGAAGAGACACAUCAUCAAAUCCCUUGAUUGUGUUUACUGCUUGGAACAAGAGUCUUGUUCUCACCUAUUUUUUGAAUGUAUAGUUGCUAAACAUCUCUGGGCCCACAUUGAGGAAUAUUUCUCUAGUUAGAUUGGCUCAUCCUUUGAAUCUGUCACCAGAUUCUGGAUUGCUACCAAAAAGUGCUCAGUUUUAACAGUUAGCUCAGUUGUCCUUUGGUGCCUCUGGAAAUAUAGAAAUUCUAUGCUUUUCAGUAACACCUCCUGGAUUUCCAUUCCGCAGGUCUUGAGGUUGAUCAGGAACAUGGUGAGGAACUGGGCGAUUCUCUCCUCCGAAUCGGACAAGGACAAGUUGAUGAGCUUCAUAGAAACCCUAACAAGAUCCCUCCAGAAACCGUUGGCGAUCACUUGUGGCUGA
rnacentral:rRNA from 1 species